rnacentral:rRNA from 1 species
AUUGAACGCUGGCGGCAUGCCUUACACGUGCAAGUCGAACGGCAGCGCGGGGCAACCUGGCGGCGAGUGGCGAACGGGUGAGUAAUAUAUCGGAACGUACCCUGGAGUGGGGGAUAACGUAGCGAAAGUUACGCUAAUACCGCAUACGAUCCAAGGAUGAAAGCAGGGGACCGCAAGGCCUUGUGCGCCUGGAGCGGCCGAUAUCUGAUUAGCUAGUUGGUGGGGUAAAGGCCUACCAAGGCAUCGAUCAGUAGCUGGUCUGAGAGGACGACCAGCCACACUGGAACUGAGACACGGUCCAGACUCCUACGGGAGGCAGCAGUGGGGAAUUUUGGACAAUGGGCGCAAGCCUGAUCCAGCAAUGCCGCGUGAGUGGAGAAGGCCUUCGGGUUGUAAAGCUCUUUUGUCAGGGAAGAAACGGUGGAGGCUAAUAUCCUUUGCUAAUGACGGUACCUGAAGAAUAAGCACCGGCUAACUACGUGCCAGCAGCCGCAGUAAUAC